GAUGAACGCUGGCGGCGUGCCUAAUACAUGCAAGUCGAGCGAACAGAUGAGGAGCUUGCUCCUCUGACGUUAGCGGCGGACGGGUGAGUAACACGUGGAUAACCUACCUAUAAGACUGGUAUAACUUCGGGAAACCGGAGCUAAUACCGGAUAAUAUAUUGAACCGCAUGGUUCAAUAGUGAAAGUCGGUUUUGCUGUCACUUAUAGAUGGAUCCGCGCCGCAUUAGCUAGUUGGUAAGGUAACGGCUUACCAACGCAACGAUGCGUAGCCGACCUGAGAGGGUGAUCGGCCACACUGUAACUGAGACACGGUACAGACUCCGACGGGAGGCAGCAGUAGGGAAUCUUCCGCAAUGGGCGAAAGCCUGACGGAGCAACGCCGCGUGAGUGAUGAAGGUCUUCUGAUCGUAAAACUCUGUUAUUAGGGAAGAACAAAUGUGUAAGUAACUAUGCACGUCUUGACGGUACCUAAUCAGAAAGCCACGGCUAACUACGUG
rnacentral:rRNA from 1 species